rnacentral:rRNA from 1 species
AGAGUUUGAUCCUGGCUCAGGAUGAACGCUGGCGGCGUGCUUAACACAUGCAAGUCGAACGAAGCACUUUAUUUGAUUUCUUCGGAAUGAAGAUUUUGUGACUGAGUGGCGGACGGGUGAGUAACGCGUGGGUAACCUGCCUCAUACAGGGGGAUAACAGUUAGAAAUGACUGCUAAUACCGCAUAAGCGCACGGUACCGCAUGGUACAGUGUGAAAAACUCCGGUGGUGUGAGAUGGACCCGCGUCUGAUUAGCUAGUUGGUGAGGUAACGGCCCACCAAGGCGACGAUCAGUAGCCGACCUGAGAGGGUGACCGGCCACAUUGGGACUGAGACACGGCCCAAACUCCUACGGGAGGCAGCAGUGGGGAAUAUUGCACAAUGGGGGAAACCCUGAUGCAGCGACGCCGCGUGAGCGAAGAAGUAUUUCGGUAUGUAAAGCUCUAUCAGCAGGGAAGAAAAUGACGGUACCUGACUAAGAAGCACCGGCUAAAUACGUGCCAGCAGCCGCGGUAAUACGUAUGGUGCAAGCGUUAUCCGGAUUUACUGGGUGUAAAGGGAGCGCAGGCGGUGCGGCAAGUCUGAUGUGAAAGCCCGGGGCUCAACCCCGGUACUGCAUUGGAAACUGUCGUACUAGAGUGUCGGAGGGGUAAGCGGAAUUCCUAGUGUAGCGGUGAAAUGCGUAGAUAUUAGGAGGAACACCAGUGGCGAAGGCGGCUUACUGGACGAUAACUGACGCUGAGGCUCGAAAGCGUGGGGAGCAAACAGGAUUAGAUACCCUGGUAGUCCACGCCGUAAACGAU